AGCAGCAGCACCACUGAUUUCCUGCCCAUCAAGCUUGAGGAGUUUCCCUAUCAAUGGAGUGGACUCAACUAUCUCCCCUGGCUGAGGAGCAUUCUGUCUUUUCCUAGUUUAGGUGCGCUGUAAAUAUUUACUUUGUUCUAUGAGGAUUUUUCUGGUUUUCAGUUGGGGCUUGGAGCAUCAUGACAAGGAACGGUUGGCUCUAUCACUGUCUGGAUGGCUGAUUAAUAAUUGGAUGUUUUUACUUGCAAAUUUUCUGAAAAUGCAGUUUUAUUUUUUACUAUUGGCACAGUUUUCUGACUGAUAGGGUGACAAACAAAUUGUCUAUUUUGUUGUCUUUCUGCUUGACUUGCUCUGGCUUUUAUUGUUUAAUUGCUUAAGAGUUACCUUGCCAUUGUUUUUCACUGAACACUGACUGACAGAUUAUCUUGCUCAUUGUUCAGUUGACUAAGCUAUUGUAUUUUCUAUUUUAUCAACCCUAACUGGGUAUUUUUUUUUUUUUGUUAUUUUAUAUGUGCCUUACUAGCAGCGUGGUUAUUUUAUAUGUAGACUUACUAUUUAGCUAAGUGGCUGGGAGUGGCAUCAACAUUAUCAUUAUCCCCAGGCUUUGUGGCUGUCUGUGAUGGUGAUAAAUGUGAGGAAGGACUUGGAAUAUAAAUAAGAAUCAACAUAUACGAGGGAAAAAAGGGAGACACAAAUCUCAGGGGAGAAAAUUGGAUUAGGGAGCAAAAGCAGGGGAGACUGUCUGGGGUGGAAGGGUGACAAGAGGAGGCGUGGCAGCAGAGAGAGAGAGUGAGACGAAGAGAGAUCAAGGGAAGAGUGGAUGCAACCCACACCCUGAGAUGCUGUGCUGGCUGAGAGAGGACGAGAUGUCGGUUCAGGAGCUGCUACAGAGGGUCGAGUGUGUCAUCACUCAUGUCGAUGAGAUCAUGCAGCAGGACAUCAGGCCCCUGCUGGCCGUAGACAUCAUAGAGCAGCUUCAUCGCCAGUUUGCCUUGCUAUCUGGAGGGCGAGGGAAAGACGGUGCCCCCAUCAUCACUUUCCCAGAGUACUCAGGCUUUAGUGAAGUGCCAGAGGAAGAUUUCCUCAAUGUAGUUACUUACCUGACCAGCAUCCCCAGCCUGGAUGCUGCAAGCAUUGGCUUCAUUAUCAUCAUCGACCGGCGGAAGGACAAAUGGAGCUCAGUAAAGGCCUCUCUAUCCAGGAUCGCUGGGGCAUUCCCAGGAAAUCUUCAAUUGGUGUUGGUGCUGAGGCCAUCCAGGUUCUUCCAGAAGCAUAUAGCAGAUAUUGGGAUCAAACUACAUAAGGAUGACUUCAAAAUGAAGGUACCGAUCGUGAUGCUGAACUCGCUCUCUGACCUACAUGGCUAUGUGGAUAAAACCCAGCUGACCCGAGAGUUAGGAGGAAACCUGGAAUACUGUCACAGUCAGUGGAUACAUCACCGAACAGCAAUAGAAAAUUUUGCCAUGACAGUGAAAACCACAGCCCAGAUGUUACAGAAGUUCGGGACAGACCUAGCAGAGACAGAGCUGCCCAAUGACGUCCAGUGCACCAAAGACCUCCUUACAGCACACACCGACAAACACAAUAACCUCAAGGAUGAACUGAGGCUAGCUGUGAAGCAAGGUACCACCUUGUAUAGUUGUAUAAAAGAUCAGUCAGCCAAGUCAGAGGAUCAUGAACUCAACCCUGAUGAGAUGGAAAACCAAACUACUGUGGAAAGGCUUUUGGCCCAGCUAGAUGAGACAGAAAAUGCCUUUGAACAGUUCUGGAGCAAACACCAUCUGAAACUGGAGCAGUGCCUGCAGUUGCGUCACUUUGAACAGGACUUCAGAGAGGUCAAAGUGUCUCUUGACAGCUUGAUAGACAGUCUAAACAGCCUUUCAGACACUGGGGACUGUGUGGCCAGAGUUGAAAAACUGCUCAAGGAGCUAAAAACACUGGAGGAGAAAGCUCAGGCCACACUGGAAAAGGCACAACUUCACGCAUUGCAUGGUGACCAGCUGAUUCAGAGCAAUCACUAUGCUGUGGACUCCAUCAGACCCAAAUGUGUCGAGCUCCGUCGUGUCUGUGACGACUUCAGCAAUGAGGUCAAGAAAAAGACAGAUAUUUUGUCCAAAUCUCUGCAGAUACACCAGGGCAUUGAUAAGGUUAACCAGUGGUGUGAGUCUGGGAUCUACUUGCUGGCAUCCCAGGCUGUGGAUAAGUGUCAGUCACAGGAAGGGGCAGAGUCAGCACUGACAGACAUCGAACACUUUCUGGAGUCAGCAGAAAAGAACCAACUGACUGAACUGAGGAACCUCCACAACCAGUAUGAGGUUGUCUUGUCAGAGGAUAUCAAGGGUAGUGUGCUGAAGGCGCUAAAGAGACUGGAAGAUGUUCAAGAGAUGUUUGAAAAGCGGCAUCUCAGUCUGAAGAGACUGUCAGCUAAACAGACAAGGCCCAUCCAGCCUGUUGCUCCACGGCCUGAAUCCUCCCCCAAACGGCCCUCAGUGAAGAACACCGCCAGGACUGCAGGAGGCCAACAGCCUCUUGCUCGCAGAGCUUCCGAUAAUUCUAACAAACAGCAGGCUGAAGCUGAUCUCAACAAGAAGAAGAACAUAAGGAAGGCAAAGGGAGGAAUCAAGAUUGAGGUCAUGCAUGAAGAAAGCCAAGGAGGCUCCACACAUGUUGUUGUGACAAAUGAGACUGAGGAAAGUCUAUCCAACAGGCGCAGGCAUAUCAUGACUGAACUAAUUGAAACAGAAAGGCUGUAUGUUGAGGAGCUGCAAAGCAUCAUGGAGGGCUAUUUUGCAGAGCUGAAUAACUCAGAGCUUAGCCACCUCAUCCCACCAUCACUGGAGAACAAAAGAGAUGUGCUGUUUGGAAACCUGCCGGAGAUAUAUGAAUUUCACAACAAGACAUUUCUCAUGGAGCUGGAGAACUGUGCAGAGAAACCAGAGCUGGUCGGAACCUGUUUUCUGAAAAGAAAAGAAGAGCUUCAGGUGUAUGAAAAGUAUUGUCAGAAUAAACCACGCUCUGAAAUCCUCUGGAGGCAGUGUGGAGACAGCCUGUUUUUUCAGGAAUGCCAGAAGAAGCUGGAUCACAAACUGUCUCUGGAUGCCUACCUGCUGAAGCCUGUCCAGAGGAUCACCAAAUACCAACUCAUGCUGAAGGAGAUGUUAAAAUGCAGUAACGGUGAGGGGAUGGCUGAGUUGGAGGAGGCUUUAGCCACCAUGCUGGACAUCAUUAAGUCUGUCAAUGACUCCAUGCACCAGAUAGCAAUCACUGGCUUUGAGGGAAAUCUGAGUGAACUGGGGAAGCUGCUGAUGCAGGGAUCCUUCAGUGUGUGGACUGACCACAAGAAAGGCCACAGCAAAGUGAAGGACCUGGCGAGGUUUAAGCCUAUGCAGAGGCAUCUCUUUCUGUAUGACAAGAUGCUGCUGUUCUGUAAGAAACGAGAGGAGACCACUGAUGGACAUGAAAAGACCCCAUCCUACAGCUUCAAACACUCACUCAAGAUGAGUUCUGUGGGGAUCACAGAGAAUGUCAAAGGCGACAGCAAAAAGUUUGAGGUUUGGUACAACGGCAGAGAGGAAGUUUACAUCAUCCAGGCUCCCUCCAUGGAUGUGAAAAAUAUGUGGGUGUCAGAGAUUCGGAAAGUUCUUACAGGCCAGCUGGAAGCAUGCAGAGAAGCCAGCCAGCUAAACAUCUAUGGGCCCCCCAUGAGGAAUGUGCGUAAGAUGGCACUGAAACACUCCGAUUCAUCAAGCCCAGAGUCAGGCUUCAGGAGGUCCAACCCCAGCCCUAAUAUGAGGCAGAAGAGAGCUGACGCUUCAGCCAGCCAGUCAGGCCACUCGGCUGUUAAUGCUAGGAAGCAUUUCACCUUGCAAGGACUUUCCAACAGGAGGUCUCUUCCAGCAGAACCUGCUGCUAAAGAGGCUGAGGUCCCCCGCCGCUUCUCUCUCACUUCUUCUCUUGCUUCCUCUUCCUCCUCCUCCUUCGCUACACGGCGCACAAAAGGUCCCCUCUCUGCUAGCAUAAAGAGCAAAAGGCAUGAAAUAAAGAGUGAUCCCACUCCAUUUGGUUAUGAAGAUACAUUGCGCGGCGCUAUGGCAGCAGUCAGGAAACGUCAGAGUAUGACUAGCAGCACUUCUGCUGGUCCUGGUGGCACCUCAGCCGUCCCUAGAUCCACUUCCCAACCAGGCUGGGCCCAGCGGCGUCUUCUUUCCAUGGACACAGAGGACUUCGAGACGAUUCCCUCCAGCGCAGAGGAAUCCUCCAACUCUUCAGACGAGGAAGGCAACAAUAAAAAUGGUGACAGCAGCCGUUUCCGAGUACAGCUAACAUACGAGUCUCGUGAUCCGCAAGACCUGUCUCUGGAGACAGGUGACCUCGUCCAGUUUGUGGAGGAAGCAAAGAAUGGAAACUGAAUUUGGUGUGAGGGAAGACAGGAGGGUAAUGACUCACAACAAUCAUCAGGCCAGCCACAAAACUCAUCAAUGAAAGCUCAGAAAGAGUCCUGAUCACCAUCAAACAAUAUCUUCAGUGAUCUGUGUACAGCAGCUCUCUCCGACUCUGAAAAUGAAGCCAGUACAUGGGGAGAUGUGUCUCAGGACAGCAAAUGAACAAGGAUGACCACUAUAGUUCAUUAUAUUUAACUACAAAUAUGGCUGAUGACUAUAACUGUAGUUUUUUUUAACUGUAAUUUCCUAAGCUGGACAAUUGUAGGUUUUCUACUUUUAGCUCUUAUUAAUGAAUUUGCAGAUAUGGCCUGCUAUUGUUUUUCAACAGUAGUUUUUAGAAAAAAGCAUGCCUGAAUGCCACAGCAGGAAAGCCAUAUAGGGUUUUUAAUUCAAGGAAGUGCCAGCUGCUCUCUGUGGGGAACUGAAGCUUUCAUGGAUGCUGAACUCAAAGUUAAAUCAUUACUUACUGUGGAGAAUUCUGGAUGCCUGGAAAUGUAAAACCUUUUCUGACCUGGAUAACCUUAGGGAAAGUGACAGUUUCCAUGUGCUGGUUGUAAGCAGGCCUUGGGAAGGCGGCCUGGUUUGCUGCUAACCUGCACUGAAGCAGAACUCUUUAAGAUCAAAUUCUUACUCUGAUACCCAAUUUCAAAUGUUUCAGCAUUUCAUGUUCAAAAUAUAUAUAAUUAAUUGCAUUUUUGAAAAGAAUCUAGAAGUUGUUUUCUUUGGUUUUCUCUAUCCUAGUGGAGCAUGCACACAAAUUAUAUCAAGUAUAGAGUUGCUUCAGAGACUAUUCUGACUACUAUAUUUUCACAGUCAUACAGGUUCUCAA